rnacentral:rRNA from 1 species
UGGGGAAUAUUGCACAAUGGGCGCAAGCCUGAUGCAGCCAUGCCGCGUGUAUGAAGAAGGCCUUCGGGUUGUAAAGUACUUUCAGCGGGGAGGAAGGUGUUGAGGUUAAUAACCUCAGCAAUUGACGUUACCCGCAGAAGAAGCACCGGCUAACUCCGUGCCAGCAGCCGCGGUAAUACGGAGGGUGCAAGCGUUAAUCGGAAUUACUGGGCGUAAAGCGCACGCAGGCGGUCUGUCAAGUCGGAUGUGAAAUCCCCGGGCUCAACCUGGGAACUGCAUUCGAAACUGGCAGGCUAGGGUCUUGUAGAGGGGGGUAGAAUUCCAGGUGUAGCGGUGAAAUGCGUAGAGAUCUGGAGGAAUACCGGUGGCGAAGGCGGCCCCCUGGACAAAGACUGACGCUCAGGUGCGAAAGCGUGGGGAGCAAACA